GAUGAAGAACGCAGCGAAAUGCGAUAAGUAAUGUGAAUUGCAGAAUUCAGUGAAUCAUCGAAUCUUUGAACGCACAUUGCGCCCCCUGGAAUUCCGGGGGGCAUGCCUGUUCGAGCGUCUCAGGGACGAACCCUCGCGCGGGUGUACGCGCGGUCGUGGCUGCGGUGGCGUGCCCGAGGCGGCGGCCACCGCGCUGGAAUACAUGGGCGGACGCCUGCCGCGUGGCCGAGCGUGAUAUGACGCAUUGGCGCUCGCACGCGGAGAGGCUGCCAGCCCUGGCCCGUCUGUCGGGCGGGGGAGAGCAAGACACGUGAACUCCUCGAAUCAGGUAGGGAUACCCGCUGAACUUAAGCAUAUCAAUAAGCGGAGGA
rnacentral:misc_RNA from 1 species